rnacentral:rRNA from 1 species
GAGUUUGAUCCUGGCUCAGGAUGAACGCUGGCGGCGCGCUUAACACAUGCAAGUCGAGCGGAGCACAUCGUUGGAAUCCUUCGGGAGGAAGAGGAUGUGGCUUAGCGGCGGACGGGUGAGUAACGCGUGGACAACCUGCCCUAUGCAGGGGGAUAACAUCCGGAAACGGGUGCUAAUACCGCAUAAGCGCACAGUACCGCAUGGUACAGUGUGAAAAGCUGAGGCGGCAUAGGAUGGGUCCGCGUUGGAUUAGGGAGUUGGCGGGGUAACGGCCCACCAAACCGACGAUCCAUAGCCGGCCUGAGAGGGUGGACGGCCACAUUGGGACUGAGACACGGCCCAGACUCCUACGGGAGGCAGCAGUGGGGAAUAUUGCACAAUGGGGGGAACCCUGAUGCAGCGACGCCGCGUGGGUGAGGAAGUACUUCGGUAUGUAAAGCCCUAUCAGCAGGGAAGAAAAUGACGGUACCUGACUAAGAAGCCCCGGCUAACUACGUGCCAGCAGCCGCGGUAAUACGUA